CAGCUUGUUGGUGAGGUAAUGGCUCACCAAGGCGACGAUCAGUAGCUGGUCUGAGAGGAUGAUCAGCCACAUUGGGACUGAGACACGGCCCAAACUCCUACGGGAGGCAGCAGUGGGGAAUAUUGGACAAUGGGCGAAAGCCUGAUCCAGCCAUGCCGCGUGAGUGAUGAAGGCCUUAGGGUUGUAAAGCUCUUCUACCCGGGAAGAUAAUGACGGUACCGGGAGAAUAAGCCCCGGCUAACUUCGUGCCAGCAGCCGCGGUAAUACGAAGGGGGCUAGCGUUGUUCGAAUUUACUGGGCGUAAAGCGCACGUAGGCGGAUCUUUAAGUCAGGGGUGAAAUCCCGAGGCUCAACCUCGGAACUGCCUUUGAUACUGGGGAUAUCGAGUCCGGGAGAGGGGAGUGGAACUGCGAGUGUAGAGGUGAAAUUCGUAGAUAUUCGCAAGAACAUCAGUGGC
rnacentral:rRNA from 1 species